UUACGUGACUGUCACUCCGUUUGUUUUUAUUUCGUUCGGAGAAAUAUUAUAUCAGGGAAAGUGAACAUUAAAAAUGCGUUGCUCAGUGAAACGCUACCCGAAUACGAGUGAAAGUAUUCGCGUUAGCUUUUAUCGUAUUCCUUCGGAAACGUAUUUACAGACGCGCUGGGUCGAUUUUUGCAGGGACGGUAAACUAGUUCCGAAUAAGAAUUCACGUAUCUGUGGAGAUUAUUUUUAUAGCGUCUUAAUGCAGUGGACUGCUUCCUAAUCCCGCUGCGCGAUACCAAAGCAGCCUUUAUGCGGAUUGCCCAGCGUGAGAAAUCAAAUUCCUCCCGUGGGCGCGAUGCAGACUACCUUCAUUGCAGUGAUGCUGCGGGGAUUUUCCAUUCGCAUGGAACUUCAUAUCACUGUGGCAGAUUGAGGGACUCGUUUCAUCGGAGACGAAACACAACACACGUUUAAACUAUAACUACGUACAUUGUUUUUACUUAAUAUUAUAGAAAUAUACAUGAAAUAAUACAGAGUUAUAAAUUAUACAAACACUUAAA